rnacentral:lncRNA from 1 species
GACUGGCUUACUGGCCUCAGUCCAUGCUGAAGAAAUACCUCUUUCUUUAUCCAACAGGUUACCUGAUGGUCCAAAGAAGAUCUCCAGCUAGAAAGAAAGGAGAGUGGGUCUUGUGUCUGCUUCUCUAGCUAAGACCUAGAAAGACUGUCUUACCUAAGUCACCUGCCAUUUCUUGACUGUGCAGGACAGUGAUGUCAGCUUCUGAGUUCCAUCUUUUUGGAGGAAACCUCUUGGGCCUCCAGUUCUCACUCUUCAGAUACAGAGGAUGUGAGUUGCACCCUGAGCCCUCUCGCUCUCAGCUGAGUGAAGCGUGCUUCGGGUCCUGGGGUGAAGGUUGCUGUAGAACAGUGAGUAGUCAGUGUUGUUCAAGCUUGGGCACCGUGAUCAGAAUAUCUGGGACCCAGCUCCAGUUCCUCUGUGAUCCAGUUCUGGAACCUCUCUCACGUGAGCUUGAAUAUCCUCUUAUGUAAAACAGAGUUACCCACAAGAACCUCACAGCAUGACCAGAGAAAUUAAAUACAGUAAUGCACAAAAGUACUCAGCAUAUUGCCUGGCACAUGGUACAUGUUCAACAAUGAAAAUGAUUUUUAUUUAUUGUUCCUCAAGUUUUCACAGGUAUUGAUUGCCCUUAGGCCAAGCAAGAGGGGGUCUCUGCUCUGUGCCUAUGCUUCAGAGGCUCCCAUACUUCACAAUCUCCAGAAGUAAUAAAUAUAUUAUAAGAACACA